rnacentral:lncRNA from 1 species
CGCGAACGUCACCCUGCGUCCACAGGCCUGCAGAGUCAGCACCUGCACCAGCCAGAGAAAGGACGGGCUUUUUUACUCAGUAUGGAGAGCCUGCGUUAGAGCUGACACUUAGUGGGCAGAGCCCGGCCUUCCGGGAGCCUGCACAUCACCACGGGCCAGGAUGAAUCCCGCCCUGGGAGGGAACGUCUGGGUGGAGGCCAGGUGGCCUGAUAACCCCAGGGCCAGGGUGGGCAGAGGUGUCCAGUGCAGCCCCCAGCCAGGUGCGGGGAGCUCCAGACAAAGGACAGAGGCCAAAGAUGCCCCCAUACCUGCAUCCAUGAAAGAAUUCCCGGAACACGUGCCCCAGGAGGAGGAGAGGCCUUUUGUAGCUCCUCAUUGUCAGCAGGGUUUGGGGUUUAUGUCUUGGGUAAGGAAAACUCAACCCAGCUUAUUUUAUUAUCUGGGUCUGAGCGAUUGCAAAGAGAUGAGUUCUCAGUGGCGCUUAUAGAGGCAGGGAGUUGGGACUCCAGGUGUUAAGUCCAGUCCUGGACCUGCCCCCUACCUGCCAGCGGUCCUGGGCAGGCCCUCGUUCCCCCUCCACCCUCCUUCCCUUCUGGAGAAGAUGCCCAUACUGAUGUGUGUCCCAUGCUGCUCCCCAAAGGCUUAAUGAGGCAAAGCGCCAAAUAAAGCAAACACGAUUUGCUCAG